AUUGAACGCUGGCGGCAGGCUUAACACAUGCAAGUCGAGCGGGGGAAGGUAGCUUGCUACUGGACCUAGCGGCGGACGGGUGAGUAAUGCUUAGGAAUCUGCCUAUUAGUGGGGGACAACAUCUCGAAAGGGAUGCUAAUACCGCAUACGUCCUACGGGAGAAAGCAGGGGAUCUUCGGACCUUGCGCUAAUAGAUGAGCCUAAGUCGGAUUAGCUAGUUGGUGGGGUAGAGGCCUACCAAGGCGACGAUCUGUAGCGGGUCUGAGAGGAUGAUCCGCCACACUGGGACUGAGACACGGCCCAGACUCCUACGGGAGGCAGCAGUGGGGAAUAUUGGACAAUGGGGGGAACCCUGAUCCAGCCAUGCCGCGUGUGUGAAGAAGGCCUUAUGGUUGUAAAGCACUUUAAGCGAGGAGGAGGCUACUUUAGUUAAUACCUAGAGAUAGUGGACGUUACUCGCAGAAUAAGCACCGGCUAACUCUGUGCCAGCCGCCGCGGUAA
rnacentral:rRNA from 1 species